UGAUCAAAGACACAGUAUGAGAAAAGUAGGGAACUAGUCCUUCUGGCUUCCUUUCCUGCUUCCCUCUAUCUUUUUGUGUAUGUUUCUAUCUACCAGGCUCUGUGCUACAUGAUGGGGAUGUCAGGAAGGCUAAGACCCGGAUCCCAACCUCAUGGAACUCAAUUUCUCUAAGAGAAAGUAGAUAGGACAAGAAGUAAAUAUAAUGCAAUUUAAUAAUAUGAUAACAACAUGACAAAAAUGUAUAGUUUCCUUCCAAGCAUGUUGCCAGAUGAACCCUAUGACUCGGCACAUAAACCUCGGAAUACGCAGAAGUUUUGUUCUCCUGUUCUUCUAUGCAUCACCCUUUGAAGAGUGUGUUUUUCCACUUCUGUCCCGCGGGGACCCAUCACGAGCAGAAGAGGUGAAAGGCAUCCGCCCAUCCGACAGGUAGAAAUUUACACGAGUUGACAAUACAUUUGGAAAUGAGAAGCUAUUGUUUCCUCCCAUCUUCAGAGCCAGUUUACAUCGACAAAAGAAAAAAUUAAAGAAAAUUGAGAUUUCCUUUAAUAAAUACAUAUUACCAACUUUUUCUCAUA